GACAGAGGGUGCAAACGUUGUUCGGAAUUACUGGGCGUAAAGCACGUGUAGGCGGCUAAGUAAGUCGGGCGUGAAAUCCCACGGCUCAACCGUGGAAGUGCACUCGAAACUGCGUAGCUAGAGUCCUGGAGAGGAAGGUGGAAUGCUUGGUGUAGAGGUGAAAUUCGUAGAUAUCAAGCGGAACACCGGUGGCGAAGGCGGCCUUCUGGACAGUGACUGACGCUGAGACGCGAAAGCGUGGGGAGCAAACAGG
rnacentral:rRNA from 1 species